rnacentral:rRNA from 1 species
UGGGGAAUUUUGGACAAUGGGCGAAAGCCUGAUCCAGCAAUGCCGCGUGUGUGAAGAAGGCCUUCGGGUUGUAAAGCACUUUUUGUCCGGAAAGAAACCUUGGCUCUAAUACAGUCGGGGGAUGCGGUACCGGAAGAAUAAGCACCGGCUAACUACGUGCCAGCAGCCGCGGUAAUACGUAGGGUGCAAGCGUUAAUCGGAAUUACUGGGCGUAAAGCGUGCGCAGGCGGUUUGCUAAAGACCGAUGUGAAAUCCCCGGGCUCAACCUGGGAAACUGCAUUGGUGACUGGCAGGCUAAGUAUGGCAGAGGGGGGUAGAAUUCCACGUGUAGCAGUGAAAUGCGUAGAGAUGUGGAGGAAUACCGAUGGCGAAGGCAGCCCCCUGGGCCAAUACUGACGCUCAUGCACGAAAGCGUGGGGAGCAAAACAGGAUUAGAUACCCUGGUAGUCCACGCCCUAAACGAUGUCAACUAGUUGUUGGGGAUUCAUUUCCUUAGUAACGUAGCUAACGCGUGAAGUUGACCGCCUGGGGAGUACGGUCGCAAGAUU